UACGUAGGGUGCAAGCGUUAAUCGGAAUUAUUGGGCGUAAAGGGCGCGUAGGCGGCCUGGCAAGUGGAUGGUGAAAUCCCUCGGCUUAACCGAGGAACUGCCAUCCAGACUGCUUGGCUUGAGACCGGGAGAGGUGAGUGGAAUUCCCAGUGUAGCGGUGAAAUGCGUAGAUAUUGGGAGGAACACCAGUGGCGAAGGCGGCUCACUGGACCGGUACUGACGCUGAUGCGCGAAAGCGUGGGGAGCAAACGGG
rnacentral:rRNA from 1 species